rnacentral:rRNA from 1 species
UACGGAGGGUGCGAGCGUUGUCCGGAAUCAUUGGGCGUAAAGGGCGCGUAGGUGGCGCGGCAAGCGUGCGGUGAAAGCUCGGGGCUCAACCCCGAGUCGGCCGUGCGAACUGCUGGGCUUGAGCACUGUAGAGGCAGGCGGAAUUCCGGGUGUAGCGGUGGAAUGCGUAGAGAUCCGGAAGAACACCAGUGGCGAAGGCGGCCCGCUGGGCAGUGGCUGACGCUGAGGCGCGACAGCGUGGGGAGCAAACAGG